rnacentral:misc_RNA from 1 species
GGAACAUUUCGUAGCCAAGUCGUAGCUAUUAAAAUGCUGAAGCCUGAACGUGUAAAUGCAGAUAUGCAGAGUGAAUUUGCGCAGGAAGUUUAUAUUAUGAGGAAGGUUCGCCAUAAGAAUGUUGUUCAAUUCAUUGGGGCUUGUACCCGACCCCCAACCUUGUGUAUUGUUACUGAGUUUAUGUCAGGUGGCAGUGUGUAUGACUUUCU